CAGGUCUGACCUGGGAUACACGGGGCUCAGGUCUGACCUGGGAUACACGGGGCUCAGGUCUGACCUGGGAUACACGGGGCUCAGGUCUGACCUGGGAUACACGGGGCUCAGGUCUGACCUGGGUAUUUUAUAGGGAACAACACUUCACUGGGGAGGCAGCUGGAGAGACAGAUCACAGGCGCUAGGAGUUAGAUCUUCUGUAGACUUCAACCUGGAAGACACUGCUGUUUAAAGGCACUUUAGAAAACACACACACAGGAAGGUUUACCUACAACACACACAUCUGCCACACAAAUGUUUGUACAAAACACUUCUCAUCCACCAGUGAGACGGGUGAACGCACCAUGAGUGGAGCGCUAUAUCUGGAGAAUGUUACGUUUGACCUAAACGAUUGUUUGGCAGUUGAUUUGAAUGUUUAAAUGGUUCAACCAGGAGUUAGUUUUUUUCCCUCAGCUGGGCUGAAUCCCAAACCGUAUUCCUUAAUCAGCGCUCUACCUUUCACCACUGGGACCCAGAGGUGUCAAAAGUAAUGUGCUAUAAAGAGAGCAUGGCCCCAUUUGGGACUCAGGACGUCGUCUCCCCUUACUCCAAAGUGUACACUUGUUCCCCUCCCUAAUUCACUGCAAGGAGACACGUGGUUUAAUAUCCCACAUUUACCAGCGCCUUUAGCUUCGUGUGUAGUAGUGAACAAGUGUACACUUCCGGUGAACAUGUCAUUGGCACGCACAUAGGUGUCCUAGGGUGCUUUGCCCUUUGUGGCCACCGGGGGGCAGCACUGUGCCACGUGUAAAUGGGAGACUAGCGGUCGUUAUGAUUUUGAGUGAUUGAGUUGUUAACAGCCUACAGUACAGUGUGUUUCUGUGUGAGUUCAGUAAAUGUUUCUGUGUUACAAGCCAGCCUUGCGAUGGGAAUUAUAUUGGGGAACAUGAUUAAUUGUAUGUGUAGUGUGUUGGGAAUUUAAUAAUUUAUAUUUUGUAGAUAACUAAUGAUUUUUUUUUCCUCAAAAUUAAAGUACUAAUUGAAAAAACGAAACUCGUGUGUGUGUGUGUGUGUGUGUGUG
ensembl:lncRNA